AUUGAACGCUGGCGGCAGGCCUAACACAUGCAAGUCGAGCGUGCGGCGGACGGGUGAGUAAUGUCUGGGAAACUGCCGGAUGGAGUGGGAUAACUACUGGAAACGGUUGCUAAUACCGCAUCCCAUUCGAUGUGCCCAGAUGGGAGUAGCUUGUCGGUGGGGUAAUGCGUCACCUAGGCGACGAUCCCUAGCUGGUCUGAGAGGAUGACCAGCGAAACGGGAACUGAGAAACGGUCCAGACGCCUACGGGAGGCAGCAGGUGGGAAGGUGGAACAGUGGGCGAAAGUCUGAAGCAGCCAUGCCGCGUGUGGGAAGAAGGCAUUCGGUUUUUAAAGCACUUUCGGCUGGUAGGCGUUAGCCUCAUAAGAAGCACCGGCUAAUGCCGGGCCAGCAGCCGCGGUAAUUC
rnacentral:rRNA from 1 species